rnacentral:lncRNA from 1 species
AUCACGUUUACUUUAAAGGGGAAAAAAUCGGGAAACUUAUUUUCUGGAUGCGCCUCGUAUAUACGUCAUUAUAUAAAUGAAUUAUCGCACUGUGUACAAACGAAGCAGAAUCCCUAUUUCGUUAUAUUUUGUGUUCUUCUGCAUGUACCGACUUUCGAGGUGUAUCCCCUCGGAAUAAACAGUCGAUCGUUCUAAUUGGCACAAAAUUUUAUUGUGGUAUUUGGCUUUCUUUGCGAGAUAAGAGGAAAAAAACCCGAUAAUUACGGGGAAAAAGAAAUUUUUCCGAUUCGUUCGGCGCUUAUGAGCCUCAUUUCUUCGGAUGGUUGCGCCGCCGAAAUCUUUUUGUUCCGGGAUUGUCUCCGUUUCAUUCAGGGGUCUUCAUCUUGUCGUGGCGGGGAAAAUGCGUCAAUCGUCACGGAUAACAGGCGGUGGACCUGGAACCACCGACACCUAAAAAAUUAUAGGCUAGAAACGAAAAUAUUCCUGUGCCUUUUUUUACCUCGAUUGUUUCUCUGGCCUCUUCUUCCUCUGCAUCGUACGGAUUGAUGUCGAAGAACGGAUCGGCACUGGGGCCUUCUUCCGCUUCGACACCAAUCGGCCGGAGCUCCGUGGGUUCCUUUCCGGGGCCUCCGUAAACGCGGCCCGCGUCCUCCAGAAAUUUGCGGAAUUUUCCGCCACAUGUGUCGGGCAUACCGACAGGAUCCGACCUCUAUACGUGUAUUCACAUAUGUAUUGUUGUAGGAUCCUGUCGAUAGGCAGGGAUUUUAAUUUCCUGAAAAAAUAAUAGGCAUUUGUUAUAUAUGAGGGUCGUGUCAUAGCGAGACGCCGAAAGUUACAAUGACAUUUCUGUCGGCGGCUAUAGCUUACCUUCAGAUAUCUAUUUCUGAUUUCUAUGUUGUGUGUUUGGUCGCUCGGAUUGGACACCGACACAAAUCUAUAAAACACAGAGACGGUUACGAGCC